rnacentral:rRNA from 1 species
GACGAACCAUCCAAACGUUAUUCGGAAUCACUGGGCUUAAAGGGUGCGUAGGCGGCGCGUUAAGUCGGGUGUGAAAUACCUCAGCCUAACUGAGGAAUUGCGCCCGAAACUAGCGUGCUGGAGGAAGACAUAGGUGAGCGGAACUUAGGGUGGAGCGGUGAAAUGCGUUGAUAUCCUAAGGAACACCAGUAGCGAAAGCGGCUCACUGGGUCUUAUCUGACGCUGAUGCACGAAAGCCAGGGGAG